UUGCUUUAGUUUACAUACAGCACCCAUCAUGAAUGGUUGUUCUCUUAAAUGUCUGCCUGUAGGUAGCCAACCUGAAUCUAAAGGAUAAUUCCUACAGUCUGAAGGAAUAUCUGUUGGAAAGCAUUCAGAACAAUUGGCCUGGCUAUACUGAUGUAGACAGAGAGAAUUUGAAGUUGAUACUUUCCAGAAAAACAGCUCCAUCUCAGAACACAAGCAGCACCAGCCAAGAGCCAUCUCUGGAAGCUUCUAAGAGAGAUGCUUCAGCAAGGCCUGCUCAGAAAUGGCCUCUGGCUUCUGACUUUAGCGGUCCUGUGAUGAGCAAGAAGCGGAGAAUUGCUCGCCAGCUCAGUUACAACCAGCCAGCAGCUGAUGGCCACUUCUCUUCCUUGCUGCUGCCUUCCACAUCCACUUCCACUUUGAACAUGUCUCCAAGUGUUGGCUCCGUUUCCCCCUGCACCUGUGAGGUGCAAGAACAAGACAAAUUUCAGAGUUCUAGCAUCCCAGAGCCUUCUGGGGUGCAGGAGGAGAUCCCCAAUUCUAAUGGAAAGAAAAACCAACUGGGGAGGCUGAAGCAGCUGUGUCCCUGGGAAUUCGA